ensembl:snoRNA U3 Small nucleolar RNA U3
AGGACUAUACUUUCAGGGAUCAUUUCUAUAGUUUGUUACUAGAGAGUUUCUCUGAAUAUGUAGAGCACUGGAAAAGU